GUUUUUUUUUUUUUUUUCCUGGACAGGGUCUUGCUAUGUAAUUCAAGCUGGCCUCAAACUCACAGUAAUCCUGCCUCAGCCUCCCAAGUGCUGGUGUUACAGGCAAGCGCCACCAUGCCCAAUUUACACCUUCGCUGCUUGAUACCCCUUGACUAUAGAUGCCAUGGCUGCUCAGUAAUGAUUGCCUUCCUCAUUCCCAACCUGUGCUGUGGCAUUUGUCGUCUUCAGCUCCAUCUCAGGCAGAAAAUGGCUGUCCGAAGAGUCUAGAAACCAGGAGAGCUACCUGCUAUAAACAGCCAUCCUGGAGGCAUUUGCUGAGCACGGAGAAACCCGGGAGAGAUCAACAGUUCUGUUUCACACACACACACCCACCCCUUGAUCUAUCCGAUUUACCUACAGAGAGCCAGCCAGAAUCAUCUUCUAAGAAUCUUUGGGCCCAGAACAGAGACCUUAAGGGUCAGAGGACUGUGAUGCUUAACAUUUAAACUUGCUCAAGACUUUAGAGUUGAAAGGGAUUAACAGUAUCCCUAGCAUGACCUUCUAGAUCAGAAUAGACUGGCAACUUUUAUACAUGACAUUCCCAUGCUGUCUUUCCCUUCAGCCUCCUGCAAAAUUUGCUGAACACUCUACCACCACCUCCUUUUCCUCCCUGCUACACCUGUGUUGUGGGUGUUAGCCUGGCCGCCCUUGGUCUCUUCCAGAGAGAGAAUAGUCACUUCCUCUUGUAACAAGCUAAGGAAAACUAAGUGAGAAGGUUCAUUUACUUUGGGUAAGCAAUUUAACCUCUGAGCCUAUUUUUCUUUUCAUUGUUCAUUACUUGUCCAAAAAGCUCCUAUAAGACAGGGGUUUUUUCUACUUCAUUUCUGUACCAUGUUCCUUCCCAACAAGUAUCUGACCCCAAGGAGCUCAAUAAAGGUUUGGUCAAGUGAUGAGUGGUCUCCCUCUGGUAGCUUCUAUCAACUUUGGGAAAGAACCAAAGCCCUCUAUCUAGCUUUCUUUCCCUCUAGCUAUACUAGGCCAGCUGUUUGUCCUCACAUUUUCUCCUGAAGGAUUGAUUGGCAAGUCCAUGUUUGAUAGAUUCUGGAUUUCUACAGCCUGUGCCUAGCUGAUUUACACUAUUUUCUGAGAGGUUAGGGACUUCCAAUACUGUGCUCUUCCCUAAUGCCUUUGGGUUAUUUAUACAAAUGAUUUAC
ensembl:lncRNA